rnacentral:misc_RNA from 1 species
AAAAUAAUCCUACCCUUUGUGAAUUUUGUUUGUUUGAAUAAUUUUUUUUUUUAAAAAAUUAUUGGAGUCUUUCCCUUUAGAGUUUGCUUUUGAGUUUGUAAAAGAAUUCGAAAACAUCUAAAGGGGAUGGUCAAUAAUUUUUUUUGAAAAAAGACAUUUUUUAAAAUUAAACUUUUUGUAUUCAUUUGUCUAAAAAUUAUUUUUAUAAUAUAAAAACAACUUUUGACAAUGGAUCUCUUGGUUCUCGCAACGAUGAAGAACGCAGCAAAAUGCGAUAAGUAGUGUGAAUUGCAGAAUACGUGAAUCAUCGAAUCUUUGAACGCAUAUUGCGCUUUUUUAGUUUACUAAAAAAGUAUGUCUGUUUGAGUAUCAGUAAAAUAUUCUCAUAAAAAUCAUUGUGUAUUUUUAUGGUUAUGAGUGUUUUACAACGAUACAAGUUGUUUCACUUUAAAUUUUUUUUUAAUAUUGAAAUUUUUCUAAUUUUAAUAAUUAAAAUUGGAUAAAAUUUUCCCGUCAAAAGGAAUAACCUAAACAAUUUUAAAUGAUUAAUUUUAGCAAAAUUUUCGAAAAAAAGGAAAAUUUUUAUUAAAAUAACUUGAUCUCAAAUCAGAUAAGAGUACCCGCUGAACUUAAGCAUAUCAAUAAGCGGAGGAAAAGAAACUAACAAGGAUUCCCUUAGUAACGGCGAGUGAAGCGGGAAGAGCUCAAAUUUGAAAUCUUCAAGGUUUUACCUUGACGAAUUGUAGUUUAAAGAAGUGUUUCUGCUGAAGUUUUGGUAAAAGUUCUUUGGAAUAGGACAUCAUAGAGGGUGAGAAUCCCGUAUUUGACCAUUAUUUUCAGCUUUGUGAUACACUUUCAAAGAGUCGGAUUGUUUGGGAAUGCAGUCCAAAAUGGGUGGUAAAUUUCAUCUAAAGCUAAAUAUUGGCGAGAGACCGAUAGCGAACAAGUACCGUGAGGGAAAGAUGAAAAGAACUUUGAAAAGAGAGUUAAACAGUACGUGAAAUUGUCAAAAGGGAAGCGUUUGACACCAGUGUUGUUUUCUCGAAAAUCAAUUAAAAAUGGCUCGAUUUUGUAUUGCUGAGACCUUAAAAGCUCACUGUACAUUUUUCGUGUCUUUUUUAAUGCACUUUUCGUUUAACAAGUCAACAUCAGUUUCUUUUGUUGUAAAAGGGUCAUUGGAAGGUGGCUUUCUUUUCGGAGAAAGUGUUUAUAGCCUUUGGCCUCUGCAAUCGGAGAGACUGAGGUCUGCAGCGUAGACUCUUCGGGGUUAGAUACAUUUGUGCUAAGUUAUAGCUUUUUAUAGACAACUUGUUGACUAUAAUUAGUCUUGUAGCUUACUCGCUUAUGCUAUUUUACCACGCUUAGGAUG